rnacentral:pre_miRNA from 2 species
UAAUCUCAGCUGGCAACUGUGAGAUGUCCCUAUCAUUCCUCACAGUGGUCUCUGGGAUUAUG